rnacentral:tRNA from 2 species
GCCCAGGUGGUGGAAUUGGUAGACACGCUAUCUUGAGGGGGUAGUGGCUUCGGUCGUGCGGGUUCAAGUCCCGCCCUGGGCACCA